rnacentral:rRNA from 1 species
AGCGAACGCUGGCGGCAGGCCUAACACAUGCAAGUCGAACGAACUCUUCGGAGUUAGUGGCGGACGGGUGAGUAACACGUGGGAACGUGCCUUUAGGUUCGGAAUAACUCAGGGAAACUUGUGCUAAUACCGAAUGUGCCCUUCGGGGGAAAGAUUUAUCGCCUUUAGAGCGGCCCGCGUCUGAUUAGCUAGUUGGUGAGGUAAAGGCUCACCAAGGCGACGAUCAGUAGCUGGUCUGAGAGGAUGAUCAGCCACAUUGGGACUGAGACACGGCCCAAACUCCGACGGGAGGCAGCAGUAGGGAAUUUUGCGCAAUGUGCGAAAGCCUGACGCAGCAACACCGCGUGUAUGAUGCAGCCAUUUUUUGGUGUAAAAUACUGUCAGAGGGGACGAAUGAUGACGGUACCCUCAGAGGAAGCAUCGGCUAACUCCGUGCCAGCCGCCGCUGUAAUAC